UGUUAACAGGGCAAGUCAGAGCAGAAGACGGCAGAGAGCCGGGAAACCAGUUCUUCAGGGUGUGUAAUGGGAUAUUUUGAAUUUGCAGUGAAAAUGCUCGCUUUUCUCAGCAUUUGAAAGCAACUCCCAGUAUGUUUUGUUCAUCGCUCAGUUGCAGACUGGCAUCAGAUAGACCAAAAAGACCUGGGAGACUGGACUUGAUUUCUCCUGGGCGGCCCACAGACCCCACUCCAUGCCCCUUCCAUGAGGCCUCCAAGUCUGCAGGUGCUUCUUUCCCCUUUUGUGAGGACAGCCAGGCCAUGGUUCUGCCAGCAAUGCCGACUAUUGCACACACACUGGCUGUGGAAACAUCUCAAGAUGGAGGAAGAUGGAGAAUCACUGCCUGCCAGGGUGAGCUGCAUGGAGUCACACAGUGCAUGGCUACAGAAAGCAUGACCUGAGGAACCUGAGCGGUGCACAGAGAUGUGAAAGAGCAGCCUGCAGCUGGCCUCCAGCAAACUGUUAUUACCAGAGAAGAGAUGAAUGACCCUUGAAUUAGAGACAGGAAACUUCACCAAGGUUCCAAGACUGAAUAAAACAUGGGUUUUAGAAGCCACCUAAUGUCUGCUGUUUCAAAGGUAGAAACUCCCACAGGCACGAUGUCAAUGGUCACAGCAGCGAAACCAUUUAUAACUCAUUUUAAUGACCACAGAAUGGAUCUGUUUGUGCUGGUUUCUCCUGAUCUUUAUCACAAAGUACAUUAAUGAAACUACAAGACUGGGCAUACAGUGCAAGUAUUUGAUGCUCACGCACAGGAAGAUUGCUCACUGAUUACAGCACUGCCUGACAAUGUGUGUUAAAUGUAAAUAUCUAGACUCCACUCUGUGGAGUACAUAUUAAUUUUCUUGACAUUCUGAUGACUUCAUUUUUAAGAACAUUAGUUCUCCUUUGCAAACAGAAUUUAGGAAACACAAGGGCAGUUGUUCAUGAAAAGGAAGUCACUGUAAUGUCACUCACAUGUCGCGUAGCACAACGGAUAGCCAAACUGGGCUGACUAUAAUUGGCAGUUGGUUUAGAGUUAGUAUUUUCAACAUGAAACAUGUAUGUUUUUACAAAAAUACAAAACUAUAUACUUUCAUGUUGUUAUUCUAUCCCAAAGGCUGAAGCCAUCAACAAAUGCAGCAGUAUUUUUCCAGCCUUUAUCAUUACAAUGCAGGAUGGAGCGAGGGAUUAUCAAGGACAAACUGCCGAUUCACUCAACACAGGAGAAAAGACCCACAAUUGACUGGCUCUGAUCUUAGCAUGAAUCACAUACUUGUGCUUAUUUGAUUUCUUUUUAAUUCCCCUUGAAGUAUUUUCUACUGAGGCACAUAUGGAGCUUUUCUAGAUGUUAGUGGUUGGAGAUUUGGAUGGGGUGCUGGACAUAAGAUUUCACACCACCUUUUAAAUGAGCCAGUGUGAUGGAAAAGUUGGAUAAAGGCACAGGAGAAAAGCUGUCAGCUCUAGAUACCUUGGAAACCAGUGGUGUAAUAUUUCUUCCUCAUCUUUCA